rnacentral:rRNA from 1 species
AUUGAACGCUGGCGGCAGGCCUAACACAUGCAAGUCGAGCGGUAGAGAGGUGCUUGCAUCUCUUGAGAGCGGCGGACGGGUGAGUAAUGCCUAGGAAUCUGCCUAGUGGUGGGGGAUAACGUUCGGAAACGGACGCUAAUACCGCAUACGUCCUACGGGAGAAAGCGGGGGGAUCUUCGGACCUCGCGCCAUUAGAUGAGCCUAGGUCGGAUUAGCUAGUUGGUGAGGUAAUGGCUCACCAAGGCGACGAUCCGUAACUGGUCUGAGAGGAUGAUCAGUCACACUGGAACUGAGACACGGUCCAGACUCCUACGGGAGGCAGCAGUGGGGAAUAUUGGACAAUGGGCGAAAGCCUGAUCCAGCCAUGCCGCGUGUGUGAAGAAGGUCUUCGGAUUGUAAAGCACUUUAAGUUGGGUAGGAAGGGUAGGUAACCUAAUACGUUGCUACUUUGACGUUACCGACAGAAUAAGACACCGG